GGUGAACGCUAGCGAUAGGCUUAACACAUGCAAGUCGAGGGGCAGCAUGGUCUUAGCUUGCUAAGACUGAUGGCGACCGGCGCACGGGUGCGUAACGCGUAUGCAACUUGCCUCACAGAGGGGGAUAACCCGUCGAAAGACGGACUAAUACCGCGUACACUCCAUCUUGGGCAUCCAAGGUAGAGGAAAUGAAAUUCGCUGUGAGAUAGGCAUGCGUCCCAUUAGCUAGUUGGUGAGGUAGCGGCCCACCAAGGCGACGAUGGGUAGGGGAACUGAGAGGUUGAACCCCCACACUGGUACUGAGACACGGACCAGACUACUACGGGAGGCAGCAGUGAGGAAUAUUGGUCAAUGGGCGAGAGCCUGAACCAGCCAAGUCGCGUGAAGGAUGACUGUCUUAUGGAUUGUAAUCUUCUUUUAUACGGGAAUAACAAGAGUCACGUGUGACUCCCUGCAUGUACCGUAUGAAUAAGCAUCGGCUAACUCCGUG
rnacentral:rRNA from 1 species